UCCUUCCCUCCUAUCUUACCAUAACAAAAAUUCUCUCUCUCUCUCUCUCUCUCUCUCUAAUCUCUCUCACCAUCAUAAAACUAGAGUUGUGAAGAAAAACAAAAGGAUCUCAAAGAUGAAACCAAAAGACGGGUUUGUUAAAGGUCCCUAUAAAGACCAUUUUAUGCAUGUGACUAGAAGCAAGUUCAACACCACCAUGGUCAACCCUUUGAGAAUUUUUGAAGCCAUUGGUGGCUCUGAAAUUCGAGCUGACACCUCUUCAGCAGUAGCAGGUUCAUUUUAAUCAAGGGUGCUAUCCUAUCUGAGCUUUUUAAUUUAUUAUUUUUCUAUCUUUAUCUUUGUUUCUCUGUUUGAGUCUUCUUGACCUUGUAAGACCUUUUCUUGACCUUGUAAGACCUCGUUCUGUAUUUCUCUUCUUUAUUUUUGCUUUUGUGGAAGACACUAUAUCGAAAUUAUUCGAUAUAGUGUUUAAUCUCCACUUUUCCCUUUUACCAUCCAACUCAUUCUCUCCUUCCUUGUCUAUCCCUCCUGAGCUAUUUCAGUUUUGGCCAUUCAUACAACAAUUUAUGGCUUCAAAAUUGAAAGAACAAAUUGUAAUGUGCUAGCUAUGGCUAUUUGAAAACAUGAAACUUUAAAUUAUAAUUGGGGUUCAAUUUAUUUGAUCUCAUUAUUACUUGCAAAAA